rnacentral:sRNA from 2 species
GCAGCUAUGCGACAGUUUAGUUCCAAGGCUCGUUUGAAUAGACACGGAUAAUUCGAGAUCAAUUGGAGUGAUGCGGCGAAGCUGUUCCGUGUUUACCAGCAUCUCCAUGCUCAGUACCAGUAUGUGGUUAAAACCCCUUGAUGCGCCCGCAGGCUCCUGUAAUAUCUGUGGGAUGCAUGGAACCGCCUGUAGUGUCUCAAUCCACUAUAGAAAUGUUUGUUGUAUUUGUUUCGUGGGUACAUAGCCCUGAUUUCGUGAUUUAUUUGACGGAGUAUGGUACUUAGGAUUUGCUUUCCUCGUUUUUAUGUAGUGGUUUCGUGUACAGGACAUAGUAGUAUUGCGACUUAAAAAAUCCCCUCCUUAGUCAGAGCAACUUUGGAUUGGAAAAAGGCCUUUAGAGAUAUUUUUAACCCGUGC